GAAAACACAGGGAGCUAUUAAUAGAUGAAUCUAAAAGCAUCCCUGGGACCGUGUGAGGUGUCAUCAUCUGGCAGCACUUCACUGUACCCACUGCUGGGAAUGUCAUCAUGUGGGUUGUCAUCGUGCACCCAUCCGUGGCAGCAGCACAGGCUCAGCCCCACUCUGGGGGCCAGCUCAGUCUCCACCAAAGGGGCAGCAACGUUUUAAGUCCCCUCCAAAGCACUUAGAGAGGGAGUUGGUCCUGGAGCCCAGGCACAGAAAAAACAGGGAUGUAUUUUCUUCUUACCAGCUCAGCUGUUUCCACCUUCCCUUAAGAGACAGGAUCCCAUUUCCUCUCUCCCCAGGCAGAUUGAGGAAAGCCUGGAGUCAUCCUCUGGUUUCAUGACAAAGGACCUGGCUAGGGUUGGAAAAUGGCUGGGCAAGCCUCGCCUUGAUGCCCAGACCUUGUCAGCGUGUGACUCAGACUGGGGAGCACUUCUCAUCCUCUGCAUCCAGGCCCAGGGGAUCAGAAAAACAGGACGAGUUUCCCGUUGGGUUGCUGGCGGCAGAGCUGCGGAGGCUGCAGGCGCCGUUGGAGUUAACUGCUGCACCACAGCCGCUUCCCACUGAAGGAAGCUCACGACAGAGCUGCCCUCUUUCUUCAUCCCUGUUUGUUAUUUCAACAGACCCAGCAGCAGCCAAGAGCAGAGAGAAUGAACAAAUGGGAAUAAAAAUAAGUCCUCUAAGACA